CUUCAGAAGAGAAAAGCAACCUUUGCUUUACAACCCGAUUUCCCCCCAACCUCAACCCACCAAACCCCCCACCUCCAUCUUUCUCACUAUGUACUUCUAUAUUUAGUGGCACCCUUGUAUACAGCUUCAAACCCACAAACCUAAUUCUUUCCAUACCCUUUCUUGGUUUGUGCGAUUUCAAAAGGGUUUGAUGCUUCUUUUUAAAAGGAUUAAAUGGGUUAUAGGCUUUUCUUUCUUCUUUAAUUUGACCCAAUUUUGAUCCUCCAAACCUCUUCCUCUUUCAUGAAUCCUCAAAUAUAUGUACCAAGAAAAACCCUAUUAAUUUCUCGCUUCACCUUGGUAGCCAUUCUAUGUGAUGAAAAUUGCAUAUCGCAUGGACACAAUAACUAGGUUUUCAUAAGAUUGUAAACAUUUCAGCAGGUAUAUAUGUAGGAUUUAUGUAUAGUGUGGAUGUCCAAGUAUACGUAUAUGCCUGGCUCCCUGUAUGCCAUUUGCAGAGCCCACCGAUGAACCGAUGGCCCUCCGCGGAUGGCGUAUGAGGAGCCAAGCAUAUUCACAUAUCGUAUACACGGUAACUCUAUUCUCUAGGCCGUUCUUUAUCACAGUUGUAUGUCUUUUCUACAAUCUUAUUUUAUAUUCUUGGAAGAUGAUUAAAUUUUAUUGAAUUCAAGUAAUUGCUUGAUAUUCUUUCCACAUUUUACCUAAUAAAUUCUGAAAUUUUUUGUUUGAUAACAAUCAUAUGACAGCUGCAGAAAAUGAACUAGAGACGUAAGAAUGAAAGUGAAAUAUGCUUAUGGGAAAUGAUUCCAUCAGACAUAGAAUUACACGACAGUUUUACAAGAGACUAGUGUCAAAUCACUUCACGUGGAACAAGGAGCCUGUGCAACCUGUAGAAUUAUAUGUUGUUCAUAUUCCGAUAAGGGCAUCCACAUUCUCUAUAAACAGACAACAUGAAAGUUACAAACUUUGCUAGAUUACUUUACAGUACAUCAUUUUUGAUAGAAACCACUGUAGUAUUAGAAUCUUGACACCCACUUUCUUAAAUAAAAAAAAUUGCAUUGUUGUGACUUGUGUCAACUUUGUUUACAUAAUACAUGUAGUAUUAACGUUGAUCGAAAAAUUAAUAUAAUUACUGUUUAUUUAUAUUGAUA
rnacentral:lncRNA from 1 species